UACGGAGGGUGCGAGCGUUGUCCGGAAUCACUGGGCGUAAAGGGCGCGUAGGUGGCCUGUGGAAGUCUGCGGUGAAAGCCCGGCGCUCAACGCCGGGUCGGCCGUGGAUACUCUCGGGCUCGAGCUUACUAGAGGCAGAUGGAAUUCCGGGUGUAGCGGUGGAAUGCGUAGAGAUCCGGAAGAACACCGGUGGCGAAGGCGGUCUGCUGGGGUAAUGCUGACACUGAGGCGCGACAGCGUGGGGAGCAAACAGG
rnacentral:rRNA from 1 species